AUUUACAACACAAGGACUCUAUGAAUCGCAUAACGAAGAGAGAGCUAAUUAUUAUCUUAAUUAGACUAUUUAUUAAUACCUAUGGAUCACAUUAGUAUUUGCGAUUUGCCAUGUAUGUAGUAGGGUCGCUCCAAACACCUCGAAGAUAGUCUUUAAAGCUACUAGUUUGCUAUUCCUAAUUUAUACCAUUUGUAACCACCGAAAUGUUGCGGUACAUUUCCAGGGAAAACACCUUAAGCUUGCUGCAAACUGUAAAUGGAUUUCGCGAGUACGCUCUUUACGUUUAUCCCGAGGAUUUGCACCUUUUGAAGUCGGAUAUCGUACCAUCGCUGUCGUCGUUGCCAAACUAAGAUUGGUCUUCAUUGUCCGCCGCUAUACAGACAGGACAGGGGGAAGCACGAAUAUCAAUGUAAAGUGAGACGGGUCUUGAACUGGGGGCAAUCUGGACAGUGCAUCGGCCAAUGGAUGACAGUUGGGGAAGGACCACCUUACGUUGAGAAUAUUUUCAAUGAAUGCAUAAGACCGAUAAAUAAAAUUCAACAGCGACGACGAAUGAAAACACUCGAAAGAUGCUAACCGAUAACAUUUCGAGGUACGUGCUUCAAAUUCAACGACUCCGGAGAAUAUACAUAGAACCUGUAACCGGUGUUGUUAAAGGGUUAAAGGUUGUUACAGCAGUUGCGUGUAAGGAUUAGAAUGUAAAUUAGCUUCGAGUCCCGUCAUAAUGCGAUCUAAUCUUGUUAUGUUUACGAAAUAUGAUGCUGAUGGAGCGCUUGUCAAUCACUUUUGGUAGUAGGAGGCGACAUCCAUUGGUUAGGAAGCGACAGCUGAAUACGGACCAAGGGAGAUAUCGUUAUUUAUGCUACAAGUGUCCCCGGAACUCCCCAUCGUGUGCACACAAAAAUCUAUGGCAACCGAUUUUAAUCCAAACUAAUAAUAAAACUUCGUCACGAAUAUUUUUCAGUAAUACUUUGUCGGUAUUAAAAGAGUAGUAAGUGUAAACCCACAUUCCAACGGUAAGUCACAGAAAAUAUUAGAUUUGAGAGAUUGUUGUGGUUUAGCUGGCCUAAGGAUAGCCUAUUUUCAGAAAUUUCUUUUGUAGAAAUGUGUCUAAUUUGUUUACAUCGUAAGGAUCCAAGUUGAGGACAUGUUUAAAUGUCUGCGUUUCCCACCGCCGAUGUAACUGGCGUAUUUAACCCCAAGGAACUUGAUAAUAUUUAUGCUUGACGGACUAUUGAACCAAAAUUUCCGAAAAAUUUGCGUAACUGUCGGCAGGAGCUGGUAACUCGGGUAUACAAUACACGAAUGGUGCGAAAUACGCGUAAGAUAGAAGGUUAAAGGCGUCAGCGUUGUAACGCGCAACACUGUCCGAGCAGCCAACUAUUCCUAGGCAACGAAUGAAGUCACCAUGCCGCGACAACUUGACAUGUUGGUACAGAGGCCACGCGAUGAUCAUACGAGCAUUAACAAAUAGCGGACCACCCACAGGGUACCUACCGUCCACUCUACCACUACAUGUGUAGCUCUGAAGGGAAGUUCAUCAUGGACAGGUGGUCACGAAUCAUGGCCGCCCCUGUCCGCUACGUCAGUUUCUCUCGUAUCAAGCAAUUAAGGCGCAUGGGAAGGUAGACGAGCAUUAGCCGUUUCGCCUGGAAAACGAAUAUUGCAGGAUAUAUGUGUAUGUGUAAUACUUGUAUUUUUCAAAAGUGAAAUUGUUGUAGAGCAAAAACGCAUGCGAAGGAAAAUGUGAACA